rnacentral:lncRNA from 1 species
GGAAAAUGUCUUGUGACAUUUCAUUUUUUUUCCCGCCAAAGAUCAAUAAAGUCAACCACCCAGGCAGCAUUAAGCCUCCUCCCCAAAGCUCCUGGGAAGAGCUGAGGAACAGCUGUUGAUUCGGGAGGCGGUCGCCCGAAGGGGCGUCGUCCCCGCGCCGUCUCCGGCCGCGGCCGGCUCGCGAACCCGCGCAGGGGAGAACUUGGAUCGGUCGACGGGCAGAACGAGGCACGCGGGGACGGAAAGGGAGGGAGAGCGAGCGAGGAAGUGGGCGAACGAGAGAUACCAUCGACUGUUGCUUCCAACCAGCAGAUAAGUGUGGCCUA